UACGGAGGUGGCGAGCGUUGCUCGGAUUUACUGGGCGUAAAGGGCACGUAGGCGGUCCUAUAAGCCCCAUCUGAAAGGCUCUGGCUCAACCAGAGCAGCGGUGGGGGACUGCAGGACUUGAGGAUGGGAGAGGCAGGCGGAAUUCCCGGUGUAAGGGUGAAAUCUGUAGAGAUCGGGAGGAACACCAGUGGCGAAGGCGGCCUGCUAGACCAUUUCUGACGCUGAGGUGCGACAGCUGGGGGAGCAAACAGG
rnacentral:rRNA from 1 species